AACGCACAUUGCGCCCUUUGGUAUUCCGAAGGGCAUAUCUGUUUGAGCGUCAUUUCAACAUUCGCUUAAUUGCGGUUUUGAGCUAAGUGCGUGCAAAAUCGCCUUAGCUUUAAAGUUGAACGCUAUGCGGACCAACGUCUUGCUGAACAAAACAUAGUAAAAGAUCAUUUGAUAUUUUCCCUGUUUAAAUCACUGACAUUGGUCUCGCCACUUUAUAUAUUUUGAAAGCUUUGACCUCAAAUCAGAUAAGGAUACCCGCUGAACUUAA
rnacentral:misc_RNA from 1 species